CACUCGUUGCACUUGUUGGAGAGAUGGGAGAUGAAUGAGGCCAUUAAUGAAAGCUUGAGGAUUUUUGGGUUAAGAGCUUGGGGGUUUUUUGGGAUUUUGGAUUUUAGGUUUUUCUGGGAUUUUAAAAGCAAAAUGGCAAGGAGGUCUCAAGGAUUUUAGAAAGCAUAAAGUAUGAAUGGAAAGGGUUCAGGUAUUUAUAAGCAUUUUGGAAGGAAGGUUAAAAGUUUGAUUUUCAAAGUUGGAGGAAGGAUCGAGCGGGAAAGUUGUUAAUCAUUGUGGAUAUUCAAAGAAUCUAAUUGAAAAGACCGAGGUUUUCACGGUUUAAGGAUGCACGAUUGCGUGUUGCAACGGAUUUAAUGUAGAAUAGAUGUUUUGGCUGUCGUACGUUUUCAAGGGUUACGAUUAAAAGCUGCUAGGUUAACCAAAGGAUCAACACGUGGCAAGACGGUUGGGAGAAUUGAGGUCAUGAAAUCAUGUUUCAUAAGUACGCAUGGUGGUAUUUCUCGAGGGGGUUUAAUGUUUGUUUUAGGUCAAUUUUGCUUCUUCAAGGCCGAGGCUCGACCAGGGAAUGUAGAUCGACCUCAGAAGCGAGGGGGCUAUGUUUGGGCCCAAAAUACUAGUUUGGGCCGAGUUUAAGAUUGUUCUUAGCCCAGAGGCCUUCCUUAGGAAUCGUUGGGGGUCAUCCGGCUUAUGGGCCGCAUAAUCAAGGCCAGUUGUGUCCCAUUGGGAAUCCAUGGGAUGUGGGUGAGUCCUAUUGCAAAUAGAGCCAAAAAUUUGAUGUGAUAUAAACUAGCACUCAAAUUAAACCCUUUUAUUGACAAUUGUAGUAAAGAUGUAAGUAGGGAUCGUUCUAGGCUGAGGAUUAUGAAGGAUUACUAAUCUACUUAAAACUGACCUAAAAACACAAAGCUAGGCUGAAAACACUUAACUAGACUCUAAAGACUCAAAACAAACUAGAAUGAAUCAAAACAGCACAAAACAAUGAAACUGACUCAAACUAGACACUAGGGAUUACUUUGAACGAAUUUUAACUUUAACUUGACUCAAAAUACUAAAAAAACACAAAAUUGGACAGAUUCUAACUAAAAGACACGACCAAGUAAAGAGGGAUUGGGUUUUGGAUGAAAUUAAAGUAAAAACAAGCAGAUUGUAAACUCAAACAAAGUUUGGAUGAAAUUGGGUGAAUUAAUAGAUGAUGGGUUAGCUAGAAGGUCCUUCUCCACACAUGACACAUAUGCACAUGAAUUGAUUUCCAUUUACUCUUUCAAUAAACCAUGAAUGACAAUGCCCCAAAUUAACCGUGUCAUCACUAAUUAACCCUCAGAUUUUCCUUCAAUCAUUGAAUUGGACGGACAACGCAUCGGCAACCAAAUUAUUCUUCCGAAGUUCUCUACAUGAACUGCAUAAUAAAGACACAAGCAAAGAUCAUUAAGCUUUGCGAAAAUCAUAAGCAUUGACAAGGCAUUUGUAACUAUGACAUCAUGAUACUCAUGCCAGGAAUUUAACUUAAGAUGAUCGUGACUAGCGACCUUCACUACUUGUGAAUAUAAGUUUGUAACGAUUAUGUGAAACUCCCUUAUAUUCUAGCGUCAAAUUCAUGCAUGCAAACUAAGUAGGCCUCCUUAAUCAACAUACACAAAUAAGUUUUGAAUGAAAUAGUUAAGUAAAUUGCAUUCACGAUUCACAAAAUUAUAAUUGGAAGUAAUAAACUUAUAUUUCAUAUAUAAUCAUGGUUUCAAAGUCUCCUCUAUCUAAAACGAGUUUAGCCUCUCAUGUUCACAGCAAAACAAAGAGAAUAUAAAUUAAACAUUGAGAACUAAGAUAGAUUUUGAAGGGAAAUAAUGAGAUUUAUUUGGGAUUUCUAGUGACUAGCAUGCAUAUACAAUUCAAAAUCUAUAUACAAUAGCAACGGAAGCAUUUCAGCACAUAAUAUCAAAGCUAUAGUCAUGCAAAUCCCCUUCAAGAAGCAUAGGUUUAUGUGAGAUGCAUCAAAACAUUUUAUUGAAGAACAAAGUGAAGGUGUAGUUUUAUACCUCUUGAUCUUGACUUGAGACCAAGGAUUGACCACCUCCAAGCU
rnacentral:lncRNA from 1 species